GGGACACGUGGUAUCCUGUCUGAAUAUGGGGGGACCAUCCUCCAAGGCUAAAUACUCCUGACUGACCGAUAGUGAACCAGUACCGUGAGGGAAAGGCGAAAAGAACCCCGGCGAGGGGAGUGAAAAAGAACCUGAAACCGUGUACGUACAAGCAGUGGGAGCACGCUUAGGCGUGUGACUGCGUACCUUUUGUAUAAUGGGUCAGCGACUUAUAUUCUGUAGCAAGGUUAACCGAAUAGGGGAGCCGAAGGGAAACCGAGUCUUAACUGGGCGUUAAGUUGCAGGGUAUAGACCCGAAACCCGGUGAUCUAGCCAUGGGCAGGUUGAAGGUUGGGUAACACUAACUGGAGGACCGAACCGACUAAUGUUGAAAAAUUAGCGGAUGACUUGUGGCUGGGGGUGAAAGGCCAAUCAAACCGGGAGAUAGCUGGUUCUCCCCGAAAGCUAUUUAGGUAGCGCCUCGUGAAUUCAUCUCCGGGGGUAGAGCACUGUUUCGGCAAGGGGGUCAUCCCGACUUACCAACCCGAUGCAAACUGCGAAUACCGGAGAAUGUUAUCACGGGAGACACACGGCGGGUGCUAACGUCCG
rnacentral:rRNA from 1 species